GAAAACAGUGCCACCUUUCUUCUCCGUUUCCGCUGUCAUCGCCCUUUCAAAAUUCCCCGCCACCGUUCCUUUUCCCGGCUGCCAAGCUUCGCCGAAUCAGCUUCUACAUUCGCACUCACAGUAGUCUUCGCAACACUAUAACGCAGGCUUAAAGAGUAUCGACUAUCAGUAUGGGUGACUUGUCAAGGGAGGAUCUUAGUGAUACGCUUCGAAUACUUUUUGCUACGGAUUGCCAUCUGGGUUAUAUGGAGAAGGAUGAAAUACGGCGGCAUGAUUCAUUCCAGGCAUUUGAUGAGAUAUGCUCAAUAGCGGAACAAAAAAAUGUGGAUUUUUUGCUUCUUGGCGGUGAUCUGUUCCAUGAGAAUAAGCCUUCAAGGUCAACACUAGUUAAGGCCAUUGAGAUUCUCCGUCGUCAUUGCCUCAAUGAUCAGCCAGUGCAGUUCCAAGUUGUUAGCGACCAGACUCUGAAUUUUCCAAAUACAUUUGGUCAUGUAAAUUAUGAAGAUCCUCACUUCAAUGUUGGAUUGCCAGUAUUUAGUAUUCAUGGAAAUCACGACGACCCUGCUGGAGUGGAUAAUCUUUCUGCUGUCGAUAUUCUCUCAGCGUGCAACCUUGUAAACUAUUUUGGGAAAAUGGGUCUUGGGGGUUCUGGUGUUGGUCAGAUCACCGUGUAUCCUAUUCUCAUGAGGAAGGGUGCAACAUCAGUGGCCCUCUAUGGUCUCGGAAAUAUUAGAGAUGAACGGCUCAAUAGAAUGUUUCAGACACCACAUGCUGUACAAUGGAUGAGACCUGAAUCUCAAGAAGGGUUGGAAGUGUCAGACUGGUUCAACAUUCUAGUGCUUCAUCAGAACAGAGUGAAGACAAACCCAAAAAAUGCCAUAAAUGAGCACUUUUUACCACGCUUCCUAGACUUCGUAGUGUGGGGGCAUGAACAUGAAUGCCUCGUGGAUCCUCAGGAAGUUCCAGGGAUGGGAUUUCACAUUACACAACCUGGUUCUUCAGUUGCAACAUCACUGAUCGAUGGAGAAUCAAAGCCAAAGCAUGUGCUCCUUUUAGAAAUUAAGGGGAAUCAAUACCGUCCAACCAAGAUUCCUUUGACGUCAGUGAGGCCAUUUGAGUACACAGAGAUUGUAUUAAAAGAUGAACCUGAAAUUGAUCCUAAUGAUCCAAACUCAAUUCUUGAACACUUGGACAAAGUGGUCAACUCUCUUAUAGAGAAAUCUAGGAAAAAUGUUGUUAGCGGAUCACAGCUCCAACUUCCAUUGGUCCGAAUAAAGGUGGACUAUUCUGGAUUUAUGACAAUAAAUCCUCAAAGAUUUGGGCAGAAGUAUGUGGGGAAGGUUGCAAACCCACAAGACAUUCUUAUAUUUACGAAGGCUUCAACAAAGGGCCGGAGUGAAGCUAAAAUUGAUGAUUCUGAACGGCUUCGCCCAGAAGAACUAAAUCAGCAAAACAUAGAGGCCUUGGUUGCUGAAAAUAAUCUGGUAUCAGCCGUCAUAUUCGUUUCCUGUACUCAGUAUAUCAUGCCAUCUUGUACUUCUCAUCCAGUGGAACACUUGAUUUGUUUAUUUACAGAAUAUAGUUUUAAAAUGGAGAUCCUUCCUGUCAAUGAUUUGGACAUUGCAUUACACAAUUUUGUUAGUAAGGAUGACAAAAUGGCUUUUUAUUCUUGCGUGAAAUACAAUCUUGAAGAAACUCGAAAGAAAAUUGCUAAGGAUCCAGAUACUGUAACAUUUGAAGAGGAAGAUUUAAUCGUUAAAGUCGGAGAGUGUUUGCAGGAACGUGUCAAGGAAAGGCCUACGCAGUCUAAGAAUAACUCUCCAUUCUCCUCCACUGCCCCUCCUUGGGAGGAUUUCAGAGGUACAAGUGCUGCUGGAACUGCAAGUGCAGUUUCCUUCAGUGAUGAUGAAGAUGCAAUGCAGAUGACUGGCUCAACAUCCACUGCCAGAGGCCGCAACAGCAGGACGUCCACCUCAGAAGUUGGUAAGGGUAAAACUACAACAAGAGGAAGGGGCGGGGGCAGGGGCAGGGGCAGGGGCAGGGGCACCAGUACCUUGAAGCAGACGACUCUCGAUGCAUCUCUUGGAUUUCGGCAUUCUCAGAGAUCUGCAUCAGUUGCUGCAACUGCCGCUGUUCAAAGUAUUGCAGAUGAUGGAGAUGAUGUGGAUUCUCUGAGUGAAGAGUCGGGGAAACUUGGAAUUGAUGAGGUUGACAACAGUUCGGAAAAUGAUGAAAUUCUUCCACCAAGUAAAGGACGGAAAAGGGCUGCUCCAAGGGGGAGAGGAAGAGGCUCUACACAACCAUCUAAACGUGGAAAGAAGUCAGAUAGCUCUGCAGUUAACCGAAUGUUUAUGAACAAAGAUGAUGAUGACGACGAUGAUGAAGAUGUGACAAAGAGAUUAAAUAAGCAUCUGCCUCGGGUCACGAGAAAUUAUGGCUCUCUUAGAAGGUAACAAUCAGUAAAGUUCACCCAUGCUUCGACGAGGUAAUCCAACCUUAUGCCGGUUUCCACUUUAUGUAUCUCCACUUCGGGGCUAAAGACAAUCCAUCCGCAGAGGCUUAGGAUUUAAGUCUACAUUCAAGCUGUUUGAAUGUUCCUUCCGAAGGUUGCAAAAUGUAAUUUGAUCGUUAUAUGAGUGGAUGCCCGCAUCAGUUGAUUUUGUUCCAAAUCGAGUUUGUGUUUUUUCCAGUUAAAGAUUGUGAGCAUCGUGACGGCCAUGCUUUCCGGCCACCAAACACAGCAGCCAGAGUAUCAACAGGCAGGUUGGCUGGUGCUUUCGGUCGCAACAUCCAUCUGAUUUGUUUUAGCUUGGAAGCAACCCUGCUGGCUGGGAUGGCUUGUAAUCUAUAUGGUGCUUAUAGUUUUGGAAGUCAAGAAAACAUGGACUUGUAUUACACAUUCGAAGCAAGCGAUUUGCACGUUUAACAUUUCAUCAAAGCAAACGAUUUACGCUUUCGAAGCAAGCAAUCUAUAUUGUGCUUAUAUAAAUGACAGAUUCACAC